GGAGGGGUGGCCGAGUGGACGAAGGCGGGUGACUCGAAAUCACCUGUGGGCCCUUGAAGGCUCACCGCGGGUUCGAAUCCCGCCCCCUCCGCCU
rnacentral:tRNA from 1 species